GUGCCAGCAGCCGCGGUAAUACGUAGGGCGCAAGCGUUGUCCGGAAUUAUUGGGCGUAAAGAGCUCGUAGGCGGUCUGUCGCGUCUGGUGUGAAAACUCGAGGCUCAACCUCGAGCUUGCAUCGGGUACGGGCAGACUAGAGUGCGGUAGGGGAGACUGGAAUUCCUGGUGUAGCGGUGGAAUGCGCAGAUAUCAGGAGGAACACCGAUGGCGAAGGCAGGUCUCUGGGCCGCAACUGACGCUGAGGAGCGAAAGCAUGGGGAGCGAACAGGAUUAGAUACCCUGGUAGUCC
rnacentral:rRNA from 1 species